GUUUUCUGUGCAGCUUGCUGUUUACGGGUCUUGGGCUAGCGUUUUCGUCAAAGAGCCCGAGAGCUAGGCAGCCAAGGGGAAGACCCCAACCUUCAAAGAAGAGCUGGGAGGCACAAAACUGAGCUGCUUGUCUUUCCAUCAUCUAGUCAAUAAGUGUACUUUUAUUGAGCAUCUACGAGUGACAGACGUUGUCCUGGGGCGUAGAACACAGCAGUGACAAUAGACGGUAGAAGAUCCUUGAUGCUCCUGAAAGAUACAGACCAGAAGACAAUUUAAAACCCUCAAAUAGAGAAGUCACACUGUGGCAGAAAUGUGGAGGAUGAAAUGAACCUGGUCAGACUGGAGAAAAGAUGACAACAACAGUCUAGAUGAGAGAUGAGUCCAGCUGAAAUUAAGUGGUGGAGACAGAUGCUCCCUUGCAAAGAUUCAGGAAUAAACAUGUGGGAGAGACAUGAAGACAGGAGGAAUAGAUUUCUCCUAACAACAGGGCUGUCAAGAGAGGCCAGAUCUACCAUAGGAAGGAGAGUCCAAGAAAGGUGUUCGUUUCAACUUGUUAAAAGCAUAAGACAGACAUGAACAUGCAGCCCGCGUGGAAUGUGCCAAGAAGAAAAGGAUGAAGAG